rnacentral:lncRNA from 1 species
AGACUCGUCCCUAACCCCAGCCCGGAGACUUUCACUUUGUCCCAUGCCUCCCGAGCACCCCUCCCCGCCCCGGUGGGGGCAGCUCCUGGCUCCGAGCCCCCACCUCGGGGCUCCCAGCCUGGUCCCGGGCGGCCGACCCCAGCAGCCACAGGCAUCCUACGCUGUGUGCACACAGCAUAUCACCGGGAGAGACGGCACGGAAAGAUGGCCCUGCCCUCAAGGAGCUGCAGUCUGCCCAGGAAGGCAGACAGAUAAACUGCUAUAGUUUUCCACUAUUGAGCUGAAUUUCGUAUCACCAUCAAAAGUUACCUACCUACAAGUCCCUAGUAGAGAAAAUUUAACUUCUGGCUUUAAAAAAGGGACAGAAAAGCAGGCAGAUCUGCUAGUAAGCAAACUACAGCUCCCCCGAGGAGACACACAGGCAGUGGGUAAGAGGAACAGACCCAUGGCUCCACUGAAGACACAGAGCAGCAGACGAAAAAGACAUGUCCUAAAUGUUAAAUGGUAAGGAGGGGUAGGGUGAAAAAAGGGAACAUGGAUGCCAGGCAGAAGAAAUAAAAGCCUUUCCAAACAUUUGUAUUACAUGAUGCUGGCUCUCACUGAUAAACCACUGGAUGAGAACUGUACUUCAUCCAUAUCAUCCUGUUGGUUGCAGAUCCCGUCACCCCAUAUCUAAAACAUAUUUCCUUCUGGAGCUUUACUGUUGAUACUGCUUUGAGAUGUAUCAUUUGGUUUUGGUUUUACAUAUUUAACAUUUUAAUGAAAGGGUGACUUGAGUAAGGCACUACUUUUUCAAUAAAUAGCAACAGAACCAAUUUGCCUGGGAGGAGACCUGCCAGCAAGCCAUGAGGGGCAUUUCCAAAAUUUCCAGUAUAGGCUGCUCCCAAUUUCUGCCUCCACUUUAAAAACACUUUGCACUUACUAGUGUUAUUCCAGGAGAGCCAGUUAAUAGUUUAAUGAAACUAGUUAGAGUUUAAAGGCAGCAAAUGGGAUAAUUUAAAAUAAUCAUCCCAUUUUUAUUGAUGGUUCUCAAAUCUCUCUCCAGAUCUGACAUUUUGCCCUAGCUCAGACUUGUACCUACACUUUCUAUUCAGACUAACGUCCUCCAUAGUUUUAGGACAUCACCAUCCCAACUUGGGCACUGACAGCCCACAGGCCACAUCCUCCUCAAGUAGCAACUCAUGAACCCAGAGAACUGACUGAAAUAGUUCAGUGUUUCUUGAGCUCCCCAAGGCCUUCAGGCUUCUGUGCAGAGUGGAAGUGGUAGUGGUAGUGGCACAAGUAUGCUAAUUGCCACAGUACACUCUCCAAGGUAAGUGUAACCGGGCCCAUUCUACAGAUAAACUAAAGGUUAGGUAAAUUAAAUCUCCUGGCCCAUCCACAUCUAAUCAUCAUCAGGGCCAGGAUUCAAGUCCAGUUCUAACAACAAAAGCCAUGCCAAUGGUAACAGAGUGCGUGUGAGCUGCUAAGUACUUCUGUGUAUUAACUCAUGCCAUUAAAGUCCGUAGAUGCCAUAGGGUGACCCAGAGCCACACUGGGUAGGCCCCUCCAGGCAUUCCUUUGUCUUCCAAAUACCAACUGAGGUGCAGGCUUAUUACCCUUACGUUACUACUGGCACAAGUAAAACUUCUUCCUGCAUAUACCUUAAGACGGGGGUCUCCAGUCCCCAGGGUACAAACCACUACCAGCCUGUUAGGAACUGGGCCACAAAGCAGGAAGUGAGCGGCAGGCAAGUGAGCAAAGCUUCAUCUGUAUUUACAGAUGCUCCCCCUGGCUUGCAUUACCGCCUGAGCUCUACCUCCUGUCACAUCAGCAGCGGCAUUAGAUUUUCAUAGGACCACGAAUCCUAUUGUGAACUGCGCAUGUGAGGGAUCUGGGUUGCGUGCUUCUUUUGAGAAUCUAAUGUCUGAUGAUCUGUCACUGUUUUCCAUCACCCUCAGGUGGGACUGUCCAGUUGCAGGAAAACAAGCUCAGGGCUCCUACUGAUUCUACAUUAUAGGGAGUUGUAUAAUUAAUUCAUUACAUAUUACAAUGUAAUAAUAAUAGAAAUAAAGUGCACAAUAAAUGUAAUGCGCUUGAAUCAUCCUGAAACCAUCCUUCCCCUCAGCCCAUGGAAAAGCUGUCUUCCACAAAGCUGGUCCCUGGUUCCAAAAAGGUUGGGGACCUCUGCUGUAUACCACUGUAGUCUUAUAAACACUGUUUACUUAAUUAACCUAAACAUUUAAAAUGUUUCCUUUCUUCAAUAAUAAAUUAACCUUAGCUUACUGUAACUUUUUUCACUUUAUAAAGUUUAAAAUUAACCUCAUGGGCCUAGCACCUCAAAUCUCCCCCGCUUCUCUCUCCCCAAGCCAGCUUGCCCUCUCUUAGCUCCCUGUGGCCCUAUUUCUGUCAGCUGCAGCAGAGUUCUAGAAGAAGUGCCUGGCGUGCUCUCUGUCCAUUCCCACUCCUUCCAUCAGUCACCAUGCCCUCUAGAUUCAUUCUUCACUUCAUGGAGUUUCCUGUUCGGCAUGCUCCUCGGUUUUUGCAAGGGCUCUGCCAACUACAGGGCCACGUCAUGCCAGUGACUGCACUGGUCUCCUCCCUGGCCUCAGUGUGUCUCCACACCCCUCCCCCCAACAUUCCAGUUCUGGGCAUUCUGUAUAUUAAUGUGUUCUCUUAUUUGAAGACCUGUGACAAUUCCUAGUACGUCCAAACUAUCGGUCUGCUAGUUAGUUAACAGCCUCCACAAUUGGGUUCCCAAUCACCUACACCACCAUGUAGUGAAGUUAGUUACUGCAGUACCCCAUCCUGAUUCCUUUCCCUGGGUUUUUACCAAUGCCUUUCUCUCUUACCCAAUCUAGAAUGUCCCCUCUUCACUUCUGCUUAUUCAAACACAUCAACUCAACUAACAUUCAUUGAGCCCUCAUUCUAGUGAACACACUGUGCAAAGAGCACAGCACGAGGCACUGAGUGAACAAGGAGCACAGCACGAGGCACUGAGUGAACAAGGAGCACAGCACGAGGCACUGUGCGAAGCAUGUUCCAGUUUCAACUCUAUCCCUACACAGAGUCCGCUCUGCUCUCUCUCCCUUCUCUGAAAAACAACAAUUCCUGUUUAUGACUAGAAUUAAUAAGCACUUCUGCCAUUAAAAGGUCUAUAGAUCUUCCACCAAAUUGUGGAUUCCUUUCCAGCAAGAGGUGGGUCUCUCUGUUCUCUCCUCCUGAGCCUGGGUAGACCUUUGUAACUGUCUUGACCAACAGAAUGUGACAGAAUGAUACCAGGUGACUUCUAAGACUACAUCAUACAAAGCAACACAGCUUCUGCUGGGCUCUCCCUCUCUGGACACGUGUCUUUGAAGCCCUGAGCUGCCAGAUUAAACAGUCCGGCUUGCCUAAAGUCACCACGCUGGAGAGACCAUCAGGGAUGGAGAGGUGCUACAGAAACCCUAGCUAUUCUAGUCCCCAGCCAUUUGAGUCUUCCUAGCCCAGACUCAUAAGUGAAGAAACCUUCAAGAUGAUUCCAAUACCUCCUAUCACUUGACUGCAACCUCGUGAAAGCCUAAGCCAGACCUGCACGGUGGAGCCAUUCCUAAAUUCUGGUCCCACAGAAACUGUGAAAGAUAAUAAAUGAUCAUCAUUG